UACGGGGGGAGCAAGCGUUGUUCGGAUUUACUGGGCGUAAAGAGCGCGCAGGCGGUCGAUUUAGUCGCGUGUGAAAGCCCCCGGCUCAACUGGGGAGGGUCACGCGAUACUGAUCGACUCGAAGGCAGGAGAGGGUAGUGGAAUUCCCGGUGUAGUGGUGAAAUGCGUAGAUAUCGGGAGGAACACCAGUGGCGAAGGCGACUACCUGGCCUGUUCUUGACGCUGAGGCGCGAAAGCUAGGGGAGCAAACGGGG
rnacentral:rRNA from 1 species